AAAGUGCAAUGGAUAACGUGUGGGACUUGUACUCCAAAGUUCGUGGGUUCGAAACCCACCUGAAAUA